rnacentral:tRNA from 1 species
GAGGUUGUGGCUCAUUGGUAGAGUGCUUGCCUAGCAUGUGUGAGGCACUGGGUUCGAUUCCCAGCACCACA